UACGGAAGGCAGCAGUGGGGAAUAUUGCACAAUGGGCGCAAGCCUGAUGCAGCCAUGCCGCGUGUAUGAAGAAGGCCUUCGGGUUGUAAAGUACUUUCAGUCGUGAGGAAGGUGUUAAGGUUAAUAACCUUAGCAAUUGACGUUAGCGACAGAAGAAGCACCGGCUAACUCCGUGCCAGCAGCCGCGGUAAUACGGAGGAUGCGAGCGUUAAUCGGAAUUACUGGGCGUAAAGGGCACGCAGGCGGUUAAUUAAGUUGGAUGUGAAAUCCCCGGGCUUAACCUGGGAAUGGCAUUCAAGACUGGUUAGCUAGAGUCUUGUAGAGGGGGUAGAAUUCCAUGUGUAGCGGUGAAAUGCGUAGAGAUGUGGAGGAAUACCGGUGGCGAAGGCGGCCCCUGGGACAAAGACUGACGCUCAUGUGCGAAAGCGUGGGGAGCAAACGAGGAUUAGAUACC
rnacentral:rRNA from 1 species